rnacentral:rRNA from 1 species
UAGGGAAUCUUCCGCAAUGGACGCAAGUCUGACGGAGCAACGCCGCGUGAGUGAAGAAGGAUUUCGGUUCGUAAAACUCUGUUGUUAGAGAAGAACAGCGCAUAGAGUAAUUGUUAUGCGUGUGACGGUAUCUAACCAGAAAGCCACGGCUAACUACGUGCCAGCAGCCGCGGUAAUACGUAGGUGGCAAGCGUUGUCCGGCUUUAUUGGGCGUAAAGCGAGCGCAGGCGGUCAAUUAAGUCUGAUGUGAAAGCCCCCGGCUCAACCGGGGAGGGUCAUUGGAAACUGGUUGACUUGAGUGCAGAAGAGGAGAGUGGAAUUCCAGGUGUAGCGGUGAAAUGCGUAAAUAUAUGGAGGAACACCAGUGGCGAAGGCGACUCUCUGGUCUGUAACUGACGCUGAGGUUCGAAAGCGUGGGUAGCAAACAGG